GGUUGAUCCUGCCAGUAAUAUAUGCUUGUAUCAAAGAUUAAGCCAUGCAUGUCUAAGUAUAAGCAACUAUACAGUGAAACUGCGAAUGGCUCAUUAAAUCAGUUAUCGUUUAUUUGAUAGUACUACUACAUGGAUAACCGUGGUAAUUCUAGAGCUAAUACAUGCACAAACCUCUUCUGAGGUGUAUUUAUUAGAUAAAAACCAACCUCGUCUUGGUGAUUCAUAAUAACUUGUCGAAGCGCACGCCUUGUGCAGGCGCUGGUUCAUUCAAAUUUCUGCCCUAUCAACUUUCG
rnacentral:rRNA from 1 species